rnacentral:rRNA from 1 species
CCUACGGGGGGCAGUAGUGGGGAAUAUUGCGCAAUGGGCGAAAGCCUGACGCAGCGACGCCGCGUGAGGGAUGAAGGUCUUCGGAUCGUAAACCUCUGUCAGCAGGGAAGAACGGUCACUGUGCUAAUCAGCAGUGAAUUGCCGGUACCUGCAAAGGAAGCACCGGCUAACUCCGUGCCAGCAGCCGCGGUAAUACGGAGGGUGAGAGCGUUAAUCGGAAUUACGGGGCGGAAGGCGGUCGUAGGCGUUAUGUCAAGUCAAGGGUGAAAUCCCCGCGCUCAACGUGGGAACUGCCUUUGAUACUGGCAAACUGGAGUGUGUGAGAGGAUAGUGGAAUUCCAGGUGUAGGAGUGAAAUCCGUAGAUAUCUGGAGGAACAUCAGUGGCGAAGGCGACUAUCUGGCACAUAACUGACGCUGAUGAGCGAAAGCGUGGGUAGCAAACAGGAUUAGAUACCCGGGUAGUC